AUGGGCUGGGCCACAUUCAUUCAUUCAUUCAUUCAUUCAUUCAUUCAUAGGAUAAAUGGUUCUUGCCCACCCACUGUGGUCCCAGGGCAAUGUGGGGGCUUGUGUCAGGAAGUGAGCCUGGAGGAGGAACUCGAAGCUGGCAAGGGAGAUGAGAAUGGGAAUCUGGGGAGCGUCCAGAGGCCCAGAAGCAGGGGGCAGCCAAGGUAUUCAGGGUCCCCGGGAAGGAGGCCAAUGUGGCUCAGGCAGAGUGGGAGCAGAGUCCCGCAGUUUCUUUUCCUCCCUCCCUCCCUCUCUUCCUUCCUACCUUCAUUGCUGCUCCCAGGAGGAGCAUCUCAUCAGAUCUCAUCAGAUCAAGAAGAGAACAAUACAAGAACCAUCUGGAAAGAUGCCGCUGUCUCCCAUCUGAGUUGUAGCCCAGAUUUCAACCUGGGCACACGUGUGUCUGUGCAACUUUGCCUGGACGGCUGGGGACUUUUGAUUCUGGUUUUCAGACCUUUCUUCAAGAUUCUACAUUUUGCCUUGACCAGGAUCAAAAAAAUCAUCAAACCUGUAUUAAUUAUCUAUUGCUGCAUAUUAAAUUUCUCCCAAACUUAGCAGCUGAAAACACAUAUUCUUUCACAUGCUUUCUGAGGGUUAAACCUUUGGAGAUGGUUUAGCAGGGGGUUUCUGGCUCAGAGCGUCUCACGAGGUUGUGGUCAAGACAUCAGGGGGCACUGUGGGCAUCUGAAGGCCCGACUGGGGCUGGUGGGGCUGAUGCCAAGGCAUGCCUGCCAGGCUGGUGCUGGUUAUUGGCGGAGGUCUCCGUGCCUCACCUCAAGGAUCUCUCUACUGCUCGAGUGUCCUCCUCACACCAGGGGGGCUUCCUCCGGAAGAAUGUUUUUAUAGUAUCCUGGCCUCAGAAAUCGUACUUUCCCAGGUGGUCCCCACUCUCAAAAAGGUUAUGGUAUCACAGGGUAGAUGAAACACACCUACCAAAAAAAAAUGUUUACACAAAGUGAUCCGGCUUUCUGAGGACACAAAGAGUGACCUAGUCUGGCAGCAAGAGGAUUCCUGAGAACCGGCAGAAAAACCCCUGUCCACAGUGGCUUCCCUAUGGAAGGAAGCCUGCUGCCUGGGGACUGGUCGGAUGUGAAAGCCUUUAGGGGCUCAGCCAAGUGAAGGGGCUAAUCCCUGCCCACUGAACAACCUGGGGUAUGUGGAGGGGGCUCUCCGAGACCGAGGAGAGGAUGCCAGGGAACUUCUGUGGGGUAGGCAGGAUAGGGCCCCUGAGGGCCUUAGAGGUGAGGUGAGGAAGAGGGUGGUCAAGUGAGGGCCAGGGCUGGGGGGUGAGGCAGGGAACCCAGGGCUAGCCCACAUGGUCCUUUUCCUGAAGUCUAUGUCCUCUGGCCACAAACAGCCUGUGAUCCUCCACCCCAAAUUCUCAAACACCCUCAGUGGAGUUACCUAUGCUGUUCUCUCCCCACAGCAGGUGGCGCCAUCGUUCUGGGAUUGGUGAC
ensembl:lincRNA